UCUCGGGGCAAAGAGGCGCCGCUAAAAGCAAAGAGGCGCCGCCAAAAGCCACCACCCACCCCGGCAUUUUUUUCGCGAGAUUCAAUCUGUUCUCCUAUCCUACGACUGCAGCGAUCAGGGCCGCGAGAUUGGGUGUCGCCGACUGGCCGCCCCGUCGGUUCGAGCUCCGAUCCACAACAUCAACCAGCCCCGCGAGCACUCCGCUCUAUUCUCCCCCUGAUUUGUCGCGACCGGCGACGGCGGAUUGAAGGAGGCCGCCCCACCAGCGGAGCUCAGAUCCACCGCAUCAACCCGCGCGUGAGCCUUUCCCCACCGACUACAGCAACCGGGUCACCAGGAUACAAGGAAGGGAUUUGGGGGAGAAAAGCACCGAGGUGAGGUAGACGAAAGAGAGAAGCUCUAGGAAAGUGCCGGUGAUCGCAGUGUCUCAGAGUAUGAACCAGAUGUUGAAGAGGAGGCCCAUUUUGCAGAAGAAGCUUUGAGAGAUGAAGAGGAAGUCCCUCUUGCUAUGUCCAAAGAAAUGCACCUUCCUUUCUAGCAUGGGUUAUGCAUCAAGAUCCGGGAGAUCUGGUACCUCUACUUCAUCAUCACAGAUCUGAGAAGAAAGAAUUGAACAGAAGGAUAGAGAGGCGAGAGAUGCAAGUGACAGGCACCGAGAGGAGUUAGCCGCGAGGCUUGAAGCACAAGUGACAACAUUUGAAGAGAUGUAGAGGAAGGAACAUGGAGAAUUGCAAGCUGUGAAGAAGAGACAUCAGGAGAAGAAUGAAGCCUGGCAAAAGAAGCAACAUGAGAUGGAUAACCUGAUUGGUUUUCUCUUAAAGGCUCAAGCAACUCACCAAGCAACUUAGCAGUCCCAUUCCAAACCUGACGGUGCAUGAAGGCCAUCCUUUUGUGAUGGAAAGAUAGUUACCGAAUCAUAUGUUGUAAUCAUCAGGACAACACAUGUGGUCUUUAGUUAUUUAAAUAUUGCCUUUUUAACUUGUUUAUUGUCGUGUCAAACUCCAGUGUGAGUGUUCCAUUUUAUUGUCACUUCUAUUUAGAGGAUGAUUUGGCUGAGACGAUUGAUUAUAUGAUAA